AGCUGCCGAAGGCAGGACCGAUAACUGGGGUGAAGUCGUAACAAGGUAGCCGUAUCGGAAGGUGCGGCUGGAUCACCUCCUUUCUAAGGAA
rnacentral:rRNA from 1 species